GCUAACAUUCAAAUUAAUUAAAUUUGAUAAGUGAACUAAACUCAGUUUUCAUCAACCUGUUGUGAACACUACUUUUAAAUAAGUAAGUAGUAAUUUGGGGUUGGAGAACUUGCUUAACUUGAUAUAUCCCAGUUAAGUCAAAUUAGAAAAAAUAAUUUAUUGUACCCAGUGUCCUUUGCGCGUUCUAUCAGACAUGCGCAGAUCUGCCCUGCCUACUUUCGCGCUCUUUCCAACACCUUUCUCAUUUGUUUUCGCCAUUGUGGGUUUAUUUGUCCUCAGCACACUGAUUUGGCUGAAGCAAAUGGUCAGAAGUCCACACAUACCUCAGUCUCUGCAAUUACAGGUCAACCAGAGCAGUAUUCUCUAAUGCAGUGGACUUGUAAGUACUGCACAUUUUCUGCUGGAAAGAGAGGCUACUUGCUUAAGCAUUACCGCUUAAAACAUGGAUACCACACUCGGACAUCCCUACUCCCCAUGUCUUCAUAAGGACUGCCUCUGCACAUUUAAAUCUUUUAAUGCACUCAAAGUACACCUAUCGACAUGGCACUCUCAAAAAGAUGCAGACAAAAGUGGAGAAACUGCAUUUGACUGUCAGUUGUGCAACUUUGUGGAGCCUUGUUAAGAAGCAGACUUCUUUACCCAUUUGCGAAGACAUCUUAAGCUGUGGCAAAUGGUUACUUGCAUAUAUCAAGACUGUAACUUUCAGAGCACUGUUUAUUCUACCUUCACUGCACACAAAAGCAGAAAUGUGAAAUGAGUUUGAACCAUAGUAUGGGUAGGACAUUUGUGUCUAAAUCAUUCAAUCCCAAUAAAAGUUGCUUCAAUCAAAAAAAAAUAUUUUUAAUGAAAGAAAAAGAACCUCUUGCUAAAAUGUUUUUUUGAAAAUCUAUAUUUUUUGAAAUAUAUAUAUUUUUUUAUUGACGUGUCACUUUUUUUGCAAAGCAUAAAGUUUUAAACUUUUUUUUUUAAAGUGGAAAAAGUUUUUGAAG